rnacentral:rRNA from 1 species
GACAGAGGGGGCAAGCGUUGCUCGGCAUUACUGGGCGUAAAGGGCGCGUAGGCGGGAUGGCAAGUCGGUCGUGAAAUCCCUGGGCUCAACUCAGGGGGGUCGGCCGAUACUGCCGUUCUUGAGGGAUGCAGAGGAGACUGGAAUUCCCGGUGUAGCGGUGAAAUGUGUAGAGAUCGGGAGGAACACCGGUGGCGUAGGCGGGUCUCUGGGCAUUCCCUGACGCUGAGGCGCGAAAGCGUGGGGAGCAAACGGG